rnacentral:rRNA from 1 species
GAUGAACGCUGGCGGCGUGCCUAAUACAUGCAAGUCGAGCGAACGGACGAGAAGCUUGCUUCUCUGAUGUUAGCGGCGGACGGGUGAGUAACACGUGGAUAACCUACCUAUAAGACUGGGAUAACUUCGGGAAACCGGAGCUAAUACCGGAUAAUAUUUUGAACCGCAUGGUUCAAAAGUGAAAGACGGUCUUGCUGUCACUUAUAGAUGGAUCCGGGCUGCAUUAGCUAGUCGGUAAGGUAACGGCUUACCAAGGCAACGAUGCAUAGCCGACCUGAGAGGGUGAUCGGCCACACUGGAACUGAGACACGGUCCAGACUCCUACGGGAGGCAGCAGUAGGGAAUCUUCCGCAAUGGGCGAAAGCCUGACGGAGCAACGCCGCGUGAGUGAUGAAGGUCUUCGGAUCGUAAAACUCUGUUAUUAGGGAAGAACAUAUGUGUAAGUAACUGUGCACAUCUUGACGGUACCUAAUCAGAAAGCCACGGCUAACUACGUG